rnacentral:rRNA from 1 species
GAUGAACGCUGGCGGCGUGCCUAAUACAUGCAAGUCGAGCGAAUGGAUUAAGAGCUUGCUCUUAUGAAGUUAGCGGCGGACGGGUGAGUAACACGUGGGUAACCUGCCCAUAAGACUGGGAUAACUCCGGGAAACCGGGGCUAAUACCGGAUAACAUUUUGAACCGCGUGGUUCGAAAUUGAAAGGCGGCUUCGGCUGUCACUUAUGGAUGGACCCGCGUCGCAUUAGCUAGUUGGUGAGGUAACGGCUCACCAAGGCAACGAUGCGUAGCCGACCUGAGAGGGCGAUCGGCCACACUGGGACUGAGACACGGCCCAGACUCCUACGGGAGGCAGCAGUAGGGAAUCUUCCGCAAUGGACGAAAGUCUGACGGAGCAACGCCGCGUGAGUGAUGAAGGCUUUCGGGUCGUAAAACUCUGUUGUUAGGGAAGAACAAGUGCUAGUUGAAUAAGCUGGCACCUUGACGGUACCUAACCAGAAAGCCACGGCUAACUACGUGCCAGCAGCCGCAGUAA